rnacentral:lncRNA from 1 species
AUGUGUAAGGUAGUGCUUGAUGCAUAAGCGAGGUAGAACAGAGCGGCUCCGUUCUAUCUUUAUUAGUGUUUGAUUGAUAAAAUACUGGCAAAUUGUUCGAUUUAGAUUAAAGUUAGCUAUUCAGACUACUGUAACUGUAAUCUAUAGAGAUAAAACACUGUAAAAACAGUAGAAGUCGGUAUGAAUUAAAACCAAGCGAACAACUUCUAUCUUUAUUAGUGUUUGAUUGAUGAAAUACUGGUAGAUUGUUUGAUUCAAAUUAAAGCCAGCUAUUCAGACUACUGCAACUGUAAUAUAUAGAGAUAAAACACUGUAAAACAGUAGAAAUCGGUAUGAAUUAAAACCAAGGGAACAACCUCUAAAACAGAACGACUCUAAAAAGAGAAUAUUUUCUUAAUAUACUGAAUCUUAGCUCCUUAAAAACUAUAAAAUUACAAUUUAAUUAUUUCCCAAACAACUGCACAAAUAGACAAUGCAACUUAUUUAAUCAAAUGUGACAUUUUGUUCAUUUGCCUCAAUUGUCUUACAUCAAUAACUAGAGGGGGAAAAGCAUUAUUAUUACAUGAGAUAAUCAUCGUCUCAUUCCUCAAUAACUAGUAUGGAGCCGUUAUAUCAACUUAUAAUAUACCACCUCAUCUAGGAUGGCGUGGUUCUUCAAACCAAACAUCUUCCAUGUAUUGAGUAUUGACCAAAAGUAAAAAACAGACUGCUCAGGAGCUAUUACUAGACCCAAGCAUCAUUCUGAUGGCAUGGAGAAAGGCCUUGAAUCUGAACAACCAAUUCUUAGUAUGUUCCUUGGCAAAGUUUCAUGGGCAUUUCCUUCAAAAAAAUAUCUUCAGAAAUAUCAUGUCAUCAUGUCAGCUGGUACGGAUGUACUAAAUACUCUGUCCUUUGCCUUCAAAGCCUACAGAAGGACAAAAAAACGCCAUAUUAACAAAAUGGAAAAAGGCAACGAAACAUUCGCACGCAAUAGGUUGAUUAGCUUACUUCUUUCUCCCAGUUGCUGCACAAGGUAAUUGUGAGAAGCAAUAGCAUCUGUAUGACGAGUGCGCAGAUUAUUCCCAACCAAAGUCCCUAGACAUUUAAACCCAAAGUUUAGAGAGUUCUUUUUUCUAGCUGAUAGAGUAAUAAAUGUUCAACUAGAACUUUUUAAGGGAUUAUUCGGUUAUGAGUGAAUUGAAGGGGAUUUGAGCGAUUAAAUCUCUUGCUUGUCAAAAUUGAAUAGAUGCAAAUUUAAUCCCCUCAAUCUUCUCCGAUCCCCAUGCAACCGAACAGGACCUAAGGGUGGUUCAGGUAGUAAAUUACCAUUCCACCUAGAUGGUACAUAAAGGCGAAACAGAAGGCAGCUGGAAUUCCUAUAAGGUAGUAUGCACCAAGAUUAACACAAGCCCCAAUCUUUUGCCAUCCACAGCCCCUAGCAACACCUGGGACAAUAUCAAGAAUCCGCUAUUGUGUGAGCCAUGAUGUAGGUGAUAUUGUUCCAAAGGAAUAAAUACAGUUCAUAAUAUACAAAGAGAUAAAAAUAUAUCAACCCAAAAGAUUAGGAAAUGGGUUCACUGUCUUUGCAAAAUUUGGUAUACUUGAAGUAUCAUUGAUACAUUUACCUGAAAGAACACACUGCACGCAAUCGAACAAGAAUGACACGGCUAGGAUCGGCAUCAUUUUGGAGAUGUAUUUGACCACCUCCUUCUCAUUACUGUAUGCAUACCCCCAGAUAUUGCGCACCAAAAUCAUAGCUAGUCCGAUUAAUACGCCAACCACGAUGGCCAGCACCAUGACCACACGGGUAGCCAGAUGGGCAGCAUGGGGUCGCCCAGCACCAAGUUCAUUUGAAACACGGGUGCUAUAGGAGCAAAAGAAACAUAUCAGUGCCACAAUAAUCUGUUGAUCAGCAUGACAUGUUAAAGUUUGUGAGCCUGAUCUGCUCAGUCUGACCUUAUGGCUGCGCUAAGCCCAAAAGGGAUCAUAAACGCUAAAGAGCCUGUGUUUAAGCUGCAGGAAACUAAAGAGUUACAACCAAGGAAGGGAAAAUCAAAUUGGAAGUGUCACAUGCAAAGUUAACUCACGAAAUGGACAAAACCGAUGUCUCAAGCUUUGGAUUGGGGAGAAGUCCAGAAAGAAGUACCAGGAGCUCAAAUGACCACCACUCCAAGCUGUGUGCAUGUAGGAUCCAGUUAAAUUAGAGAUGACACAAAUCGGAAAAUUCAUCUGUUACUAGGGGAUUUGAAAACUCACCAAACCAUCAGCGCAGAUGGAAUACCAAGCCUCAAGAAGCUGGUUAUGUCAUGAAAAGCCUCCUUUGAGAACCCUCUCCAGGUGUUUCUACAGGCUGGUGCAAGCCUGACGUAAAUUGCCAGGAUUGAUACAUUGGUAAAGUAUGAGAUGGCAUUGGCCAAGGCAGCACCCUUGUUGCCCAUACCAAUCUUGUACACCAGCAGCCAGCACACCAGCAGAUGGUUCAGUGCUGUGGCACCUGAGCUCAGCAUCACUGGGAGGACUAUGUUCUGCGUUUGCAGAAACCGGACAUGGCACUGUAGUGGACCAUACACAAAUAGCGCAGGAAUCAUCCACCGGAUAUAGCUCCCUGCCCCAGCUGCAAUCUCUGGAUCCUGACCAAAGAGUAGAAGGAUCUGUCCAGUGUAUGACCAGAUAAUCGCAACCACAAGGCUGACUAGAGUGAGCACAAGGAUUGCCCUCUGCUUGUAGAUGCCAAGAAGAUAGUACUGCUUUGCCCCGAACGAUUGCCCACACAGUGUGUCCAAGCUGCUCGCCAUGCCAGACUGAAAUGAUGAAACAAACAGUUGACUCUGCUAUUGAACUCCAUACAAGGGCCAGUUUGGGAGCAAGGGAAUUGGAGGGGAUUGAGGAGGCUAAAAUCCCUGGAUUGAGGAGGCUAAAAUCCCUGGAUUUUUAGCCUCCUCAAUCCCCUCCAAUUCCCUUGCUCCAAACUAGCACUAAUCGUUCAGGUCUAGCAUAUGAGAAAUGUCUUGAGUUCGAAUUAACAUACCAAUAAGCUGAAGCCAGUAACGCCUGCAAAGGAGGUGGCGAUGGAGGCACUGGAGAGGGCAAGCUCACCAAGGUGACCGACAAACAUGAUAGAUAUCAUCUGGACAAUGUUCUGUAGGAUCCAUGCAGCGAUGAGUGGCCCAGCAAGGUACAUCUGUUUUCUGACCUCGGCCACUACCAGGCUCUCUCUUUUCCCGCUGGUCUUAAGACCAUUGCCAAGAAGGGGUUCAUCCAUGCCUGGCAUCAUAUACAAAACUUUACACCCUACUUCUGAACAAGGAGUGUGAAACAAUGUGUUAAUCGAUGAGAUCAAUCUUAUAAAGGAUGAACUGAGCAAGGAAUGUGCAACAAUGUAUCAGUCUGGUCAACCUUAUAAAGGCUGGAAAGUUGGAAAGUGCCAAAGGACCUCUAGUUAGGUGGUCUGAAUAGCACUCAUUAGGUCCUGAGUUCGACUCCCCAUGGGAAGCGAAUUUCAGACUAAGUCUAUAGCAUGCUUCGGUCGUGGUCAUUAUCACAUGGGUAAUAGUGCCGCUCUGUAUAGGUGGGGCAGGGGUCUUCUCUUCAUACAAUCUUUGGGAGGUUGUCUUACCCCUCCUAGGUCGAUUUUUUUGGGAAGGCUAAAAGUCUCGAGGAAAUCAGAAGAAAACAAAAGCAGUAACUUGGCAGCCAAGUUUGACACUGGCAAACAAGCAAGACAACAAAUGCUUUACCUCAUCUGAUAGACUUAUUGGAAGAAAAUAGAUUAAAAAAUGUCUCUGAGUAAUAUAUAGCUUAAUUUACAAGGACAACUAAUGCAUACAACAAAGGAUAAGAUUCUGUCCAGUUAGCAUAUACACAAUAGAACAAAGGAUAAGAUUCUGUCGAGUUAGCAUAUACACAAUAGAACAAAUCUGGGCUCUCAUCUGCUAAGAAUUACUGUGACAAUAAAGAUUAAGAAGUGUGCUCAAAACUUAGGCCGCAAAUUGAAUUUAAGGGAGGUUAACAUCGUCCAGAUUUGAAUUGAAGUCAAGCGCACUGAGGAAAUGUGCAGGAAAGAAGAAGCUAGCUUGGCAGGCAAGUUCAGUUAUCUCAUAGAAGAACCAGUCCGACGAAUCCACGCUCAAUUAAGACAAAAAUAUCAUUUUCAAUGCAGUAGAUCAAUUUAGUGAGAAAAGAGAUGUGCGGUACAAGUCUAAAGUCAAAAAGAUAGAAGGACAUGGGCAUGCACAUCUAAACGACUAAACCAAUAUAUGCUCCAUGUCCAAGAUAACGAAAUCAAUCAGAACCAUGCACGCAGCGACAAAUUCAGAGUCUGACGCCUCACGUGCUAGGAAUCAUAUCUUUUCAGAAAGAUACUUUGAGCAAUCUCGAGUUGCUCCAUAAUGUCGGCCCUUGAAUCCUUGAUGAGUAAGCUUAGCAGAGCACAUCACGGAAUGCCGCAAGAUCCAAUGACACUAAAAAAACGCAUAAAUCGAAACUAAGCAGGGAUUUGGUCGUGGCUGCAAAAGUAAGUACAUCGCACUGGAGACUAGUAAAAAUCAUUCCAAUGCGUCAAUCUUCCACUGUUUCAUUUGUUUACAGAAAGCAGGGGUUCAUAAUUCAUAGAUGUGCUUACAAUAUGAAGAAAGUCGCAUUAGAUAUUUAAUUAUAAUCCAAAAAGCGCCAAAUGAGUAAGGUCAAUCUCCGCCAGCCCGACAAGAGAAAGGAAGAAAGGAGUGCAAGAACCAUACCGCAGGCACGGGCGCGGCGUUGCGGCUAGGCUAAUUAGGACGCCAUGGAGAGCGCGCACCGCUGCGGCCAAGACGAAGGCGGCUCGGCCGUGCCCGUCGAAGGAGAGCUGGAGCGGUGUGCGCCACGCGCGAAGAUGCGAACAGGGCAAGCGGCUACGGACUAUCCAAGAAACUUUUACAAGGGUUGGAGGCGGCGGCUUUUACGCCCACGACGAGGAGGCUCUGACAAGACGUGAUACGGCAAUAGCGGUACCCAAAUUGUAUUUGGUUUCGUUUCACUUCUGUCACGGACUCAAAAGUUAAAUCCGUGGUAACGCUACGGUUCCGAUAACAGAGCAUCAGCGGCGCUAGUGAGGAAAAAGAUGGUGUGGUCGCCGGGAGAAGGAAAGACUGCGUAGAUAAAUCACUCAAGGUGAUGACCUACCGUGAAAUGACUUAAAAAUAACUUACAAAGACAACGUAAAUUUGUUAAGUCAUUUUAGAAUGGGUCACAUGAGGUGACAAUUGUUAUAUAUCACCUUAGAUGAAGGUUCACACGGACGCACCUGGACGCCUGAUCGCUCAAUCGACCACCAUCGGACGCACCCAACCGAAGGCAUCCACACUAAUCGAGCCCAAUUCAUGAGUGGAUCCAUUUACCCGGUAUUUUUAUAAAUUUACAACCCGGUUGACAGUUGUUGGUCACUUAUUCUUAAAUAUUGUGAAUCAAGAACAAGACAACACAAUUAUUAAACCUUAAGGAUCUUCGUCUUUCGAAGCAUUAUCUCCUUUCGGAUAUAAUGACAUUCGGACGAAGGUCAUGAAGGACACUCUAUCAUUCAUAAAUUAUAAGAGUUUACACACAUGAGAUGUGUUAUCCAUUCAUGUAUUUAUUCCAUGAUAAACAUAUAAACAUUAUCAGAAUUCAUAUUACAUUGAUACCUUCGAUUUGUUUAGAGGUGAUGACGCGAGAGUAAUUACAAUCCAGCGUGAACAGUACUCCAGUACUGUUCAUCUAUUUAUAGUCAACCAAAAAGGUUCAUGCGCUAUUACACUCAUGCCCUCAAUAGUUACAUACAGAGUUUACAAAAUGUCAUAAGGACAAUAUCGCCAUUUGUAUUUAGUAACUUGAGCAACAUUUUCUCCUUGCAAUGUCUCAUUGCUUCGUCGUGAUGAAUUCUGCUUGAUGAAGCGUGCUUCGUUGUACUUGUCUUGUGCUAUGCCGAAGCUCGUCUGGUGACGAAGCUCCUGUAAUAUUUAGUAAUAUACUGAAAGCAAAUAGUUAGUUGUGUUUUUGAGGACCUUCAGAAGAGUAAGGCCCCCAACAGUAGCCCCUCACAGUAUUAAUUUGUUUCUUUGUAACAAAUUCAGACUGCAAAAUGAACGAAGGCCUUUAGCCAAAGGUCCGAAAAAACACAUUCCCUUCGCUAGAGUAGCGAGUCAUUCUGCAUUGUGGGCCCCACCGCUCAGCGGUGCUUUGCGUAUAUAUGCGAGGGUUCGGGUUGAAAAUAUUUUUCGUGCUAUCAAGCUUUGUGUCAGGUUUGCUAUUUUAGCUUUCUAACUCUGCGACCGCAAUUAUUUUUAAGUUUCGACUUCUUGCUGUAAUCAACGCUGAAAUGGCCGAAGAGAAGAAAAGCAUGGACCCUUGCUGGUUUCUACGAAGCCAUUGAAAGGACCAAUGUUGAGAAAAUUACUAAUGAGAUGCUAGCUGGGUUGUGUGGAGGCUCAAGUGAUAGUGAAAGUUUUGAUAUUGAGAGUGACAACGAUGAUGCCGAAGAUCGGCCCUGGAGGCCGAGUCAUGUUGUUUUUGGAAAAUCCACUAUUAAUAAAGGGCAGAUUGAAGCAAUGAAGGGAAAAUAUUUUUAUGAUAUGUCCAUAGUGAGGGAUGGAGGAUAUAUCAAUGUUCCUCUUCCUGAGGCUAAUGAAGUGGUUGUUUACAAGAGUUUUAUGAAGGCUGGCCUUCGGUUCCCUUUACAUAAAAUGCUGAUUGAAGUGCUAAAAAUACCUUCAUCAACUUACUCCCAAGGCUUUAAUUAAAGUUGGAGUUUUUACUUGGACGAUGAGGAGCCAAGGGCUAGAGCCAGACGCCAACUGUUUCUAUAACAUACACGAAUUGUCCUACCAGACGAAGGUAGUUGGGAAAGAACAAUAUCAUAACAAAUUCGGAUGUUACAACUUCGUGUACCGAUCUAACGUGAGGUAUCCUGUUCCAACCUUUCGGAAAAAAUGGUCGGGCUCAUGGAUGAAGCAGUGGUUUUAUGUUAAAAAUGAUUUGAUUGAGAGGGAGGAUGUGAAGGGCGUAAUCCGGCGCCGCAUUCGAUCGCGCAUCGGCAUCAGGAGACCUUCGAUCGUGGGUGGUAACGAAGCUCAGGCAUGUUUGAUGGCCUUCAACACAGUAUGCAGCUACAUUGGGACAAAAGAUUUGAUUCAAGAGCAUAUUGCUUUCAAGAUAUGGUCCCUUGUUAAUGAUUGAGAGAUGUCGAAGGAAACCGCUGUUGGAUACAAUGUAGGUGGCCUGGUUUAUCUGAAGUACAACUAUCGCUAUAGAAGUCAGUUUGGUGAGCCAAACAAUGAAUGGCUUGAGGAUGUUGAGAUCACCAGUGAUGAAUUGCUAGGGGCUUAUACGAAGGUAGAGGACGAAGCCAUGAAUAUUGCCUUCGGUGCUCGCAGGAAAAGAAGAUUGAACAGAGUCUUCGACUUAAUUGGAUUCGCCUAUCCUGACUACUGUUUUCCCGCUCGGAAACAAGGAACGAAGAGGAAGAUCGCAUCUACAGCCUCUUCCGCCGCACCGAUGUCAAAAAAUACUAAGGUUUUGAGUCAUCGACCGAAGCUGCAUUCUUUAGAGAGGGCUAUUACCGUGUCUGCUUCAGAGAAGAUGGAAGUUGUUGAAUAUGUUGAAGCUAUUCCCUUGACUUUGGAUAUAAGACCUAUUGCGGUUGCCGAAGUUACUGUCGCUGAGGUAGAAAAAAUAGAACCAUAGAGUUCAAAGACAGAGCAGCAACCGAAGCUACAGAGUCCCCCAGCAAUAACGGAGUUGUCAAAGUCAAUAACCACUCCAGCGAACAAGAUUGAAGAACUGGAAGAAGCAGCUGCUGCAAGCACUUCUCCUUCCUGCGUUGAAGCCAGACCUUCGGGAACUAAGCCAGUGGAGCAAGUAAAAGAAGGUCUUCCGGAGAAGCUAACAUCGCUUAUACCCGAAGCGUCUUCUCGUGAUGAUUUUGGAUACAUUGUUCGCCAUGCUUCAGGGAAACAAUUAUCGGAAGAGCAAAUUGCCGAAGUGCAAUACUAUGCAAAGGACCUUAAAUAUCCACGAAGAUCCUUAGUAUAUGGAGGGAACGACGAAGAUGAUUACCUUUAUUGCCUGCCGGACAACAAAGAGAUAGAUGUUUGCCUGGAAAUAAUGGAUAAUAUGGGCUAUCCGAAGCUUGAACUUGGGUUAUCUGCAAUUCCGAAGGAUCAACUUGCAGAUAGCCUUGCUUACAACAACUUGAAGGUUUGCAUAUUGUAUGUUAAUUUAUGUUAAGAAGGUUUGUGGUAAUCAAUUUGUGGUAAUGCUUAUUAUUGUUUAUUUGUAUGUUCUUUGCUUAUUAGGGUCUUAUUCUUAGCAAAGCUUUGAAAGCUCAAAAUGAUGCUGAAGACGAAGGCACCCGGAUAGCGUUCGGAAAUAUGAGUUCAGAAGUUAUAUCUCUUCGGAAUGAUGGCCUUGAGAAAGACAAGAUCCUGCUUUCUUUAGUCGAAAGGCUAAAGACUAGCGAAGCAAAAUUGGCUGCAUUCUCUGAAGUGGAACAAAAAAUUCUAAAUUUGAGGAGGAGCUUGAUGAAAUCACUGAAAACUUCAACGUCGAACAAUCAAAAUAUGAGAUAUCUGAUACCGAACCGUUGAGGGUUCAAAAGAAUGUUGAAGAGCUUUGCGAGGCGAAAGAGGAGUGCUACAACGUUGCUAUGCAGUUUUGCAAUAAGCUGAAGAGUAGUUUUGCUAAGGUUGGCGCAUUCUUUACUAAACCAAACUUUAUUCAUGGUGAUCCUGGCGGAGUUAUCAGAUGGAUUAAAGGCGAAGCCGAAGCGUUUGAUGAGAUCCUUAGUGAUAGAGAAGAUUUUUGUACCUGCAUCGACGCUCGAGGAGCUGUUUCUUUGCUUGAAAAAGCUGGCUAUGAGCAUGUGAAGGCUGUAACUCAACCAGAAUUCUCAGUUUCAUCGAAUUACGUCAAGGAUCCUUCAGCCGAAGCCAUCGCCUUUAGUGGAAAAUUUUAUUCUGAAGUACGGGUGAAUGGUGGCCAAGAAAAUAGCAGAUGAGGCUAUUAAACAAAAUGAAAAAGAAUCCCAUACUACCUUAGAAGAAGCGAGGAAAGCUAAAGAAGCCGCAUAACGUGAAAGGCUUAUAGGUAUGUUUGUCAGGAUUUAGCUUCGCAAAUACUUGUAGCUUUGUAAUUAACAAAAGCUUAUACUUUGGUGCAGUCGAACUUUCUCCUCCUCCAGAGCCAUACAAUCCUAAGGUCGAUCCAGCCCUAAAGGGCGCUCUUGAUGUGAUCAGGAUGGCAAAUGAACCUGUUGACAAAGCUAUGAAUAGACUCCUGAAAGACGCUGCUGAUAAAAUCUUGAAGGAGGAUAAUUAGACUUUGUAUAUAAAAACACUUGUAAAAUGUUUGUGUGUUGUUCUCUUAAAAAACAAUUGCUAACUAUAUAUCUCAUGACGUAAUAUAUUUCUUUGUGGAGCGUGAAACCUUCGUACGUACCAUUUUGAGCCAAAGGCGAAAAACACCUUCCCUUCUUUUCACACUUCAUAAAGAAAAAUCCUCUUUCGGCCGAAGCAGCAUUAUUAGACUCGAAAAUAUUUGUCGUAUAUCUUGUAUAAGAAAUAUCCUUUUCAUAAUUCUUUGCCGAAGAUAGACCUCAUGAGUUAGUCAUCAUGGCCGAAGGAGCAAUUUCCCUUCUUUUUCCACUGUUUCGGAUGAUGCAAGAUGAUGAAUGAUGUAUGAUAUGCAGUAUGAUGCGAUGAUAUGAUGCAAUAAAUGUUAAUGAUCAAACGCUUUGUAAACAUAAGACUCUGCAUUCCCUUGGGAAUGACUUUGGAGUCUCUUCACCUUUUACUUAGGUGGUAUUUGAGCUCUGCAUCCCUGUAGGAAUGACUUUGGAGCUACGCUCUGCAUCCCCUUAGGAACGACUUUGGAGCUUUUUCACCUUUUACUUAGGUGGUAUUUGAGCUCUGCAUUCCCGUAGGAAUGACUUUGGAGCUAAGCUAUGCAUCCCCUUAGGAACAACUUUGGAGAUUUUUCACUCUUUCUAUUACACUCGAUGGUGUAAAGACUUAUUACAACAGGCCAAAGGUUGCACCUUCUCGAAUUGUCUUUGAGGUAGAAACAUAAAAGCGAGAGAAAUGAAAAUUACAUUGAGUGUGUAUGAAUUUUUUUUAUUGAGCCCAUCUAUUGCUUUAGUAAAUGUGUCUUGAUUCUGGUACAGUGUUGUUGACUGUCCGAGCUUCGAAUUCUUCAUGUGCGUCGCGUUGUUGCUGAAUUUGGUGGUGCCCUUCUAGCUGUUCAUUGUGAGACGAAGUUGGAGCCAUGACUGGUGGUGGUGGUGGUAGGGCCCAUGCAGCUAGGGAGUGGCUUGCCGAAGCUACUGAUACUGUGGGUUGUGAAAAUGUUGUUGAUUGCCCACAUACUCAGGAAUGUACGGGGAAUAGCACGAAGCAGUGUGCAGGACUUGAUUCGGCUGGUUCUACCAUGCUUUGGCCUCAUCUUUUUCCUUUUGCUUCUGUAUCGUGACUUGGCAUGUCCUAGUUGUAUACCCCUUAUCUUCUCCACAGAACAAGCAAAACAACCUUCAUGGUUGUGAGCUGAAUCUUCCUCCGAAGCUUCGUCCUCCUCUACUUCUUGGGGCUGGUAGCUCGAAGGAGCUUUGUGGUAUCCUUGAUGAUUGGUAGGCUUCUUCCCUUCUUUGCCGGAAAUCAUUGUUAGCUCUGAUGUACUCGUCCAUCUUCUGUAGAAGCUUCUCUAGAGUUUGUGUGGGUUUUCUGGCAAAAUACUGCGCUGUUGGUCCUAGAUGAUGUCCUUUGAUCAUUGCUUCAAUGACAAUCUCAUUCGGCAUUGUUGGUGUCUGAGCUUUUAGACGUAGGAAUCUUCGGACAUACGCCUGCAAGUACUCCUCGUGGUCCUAUGUGCACUGAAAUAGAGCUUGAUCAGUCAUUGGCUUUGUCUGAAAGCCCUAGAAGCUAGUGACUAGCAUAUCCUUCAGCUUCUGCCACGAUGUGAUUGUUCCCGGCCGAAGAGAAGAAUACCAUGUUUGAGCCACGCUCCUAACUGCCAUGACGAAGGAUUUCGCGAUGACAGCAGUGUUGCCACCAUAUGACGAUAUGGUUGCUUCGUAACUCAUGAGAAACUGCUUUGGGUCAGAAUGCCCAUCAUACAUGGGAAGUUGUGGCGGUUUGUACGAAGGUGGCCAUGGAGUAGCCUGCAACUCUGCUGCUAGGGGGAAGCAUCAUCAAAAGCAAAGUUACCAUGAUUGUAAUCAUCAUACCAUACAUCAUCAUAACUUGGGAUUUCCUGACGAAUCUCUCUCUGUUGUGGCCUUCGUCCUUGCUCGUUGUCUUGUGUGAUGUGGCACAUCUCUUCGGCAACAUCAUCAAUCUUCUUCUAGAGUUCAGACAGCCGAAGCAUUUUCUCCCUUCUUCUCUCCACUUGUUGGUGUACAGCCUCUGUAACACCCCUGGUGUUACUGGCACUAAAACUUGAGCAUGGCAUCAUAUGCAUUAACAUUUCAUUUUGUUUGUUACACCUAGAAUGCAUCUACUAGGUUAAAACUUCAAAACAAUGUGAUGUAAUGUCUUGAAGUAUUCUUAACCCUAGGGUAGGGUGCUUAACCCUGGGAUUAGGGCAUGUGGGUAAUGGGAAGUCAAAAUGAGUAAUACCUCAAAAGUCAUUGGAAAUAUUCAUAAGAUAUCAAGUUUGAUGGAUUUGAGUCGCACAAAAACCCUAGAGUGCUCAAAACCCUAAAAGAAACCCUAGAAAACCCUAAUUUGUACCCUAGGGGUGAUUUCAAAUUCUAUACACUUUUGGACCGAAAUGUAAAUAUCAAAGUGGUAGAGCAUAAAAAACAAGCAACUUUUACAUUGGAGGAUUUUCAAGUAGUGUGGAGUAAUUUGGACUUAAUUGCAAAAAUUCCUAAGAACACCUAUGUGGCUAACUCUAAAUUUCAGUGAGAUUAAGCUAACUUUGGAGCCUUGUAUUUCUUAAUUCAUGAGGAUUUUGCCCUAGGUCAAUACAUAAAAUUUGUAGAGCUAUGAUAGGAGUACAACUUUGAUUAAGUGACUAAGCAUUGGUGCUGUACAAAAAUUUGAGAAAAAUGAGCCUGAAGAUGGGCUGUCAGUCACUAUUGAAGACUGAAUUUUGAUCGACAGUGAAAUCGAAUGAACUUUGUGAUCAAAUUAUGGGGGAUUGAGUGGAUGUUUGCGCAAGACCUUUGUAACAAAGUUGUAGUUGGUACAUUGGACAACAACUUUGCUGCAGAUGAAUGAGGGAGUUGCCACAUAAAAAUUUGAGAACAAAGCAUUGCAAGUUGCUCUGUCAGGCGCUCUAAUGAAUGAUUUCGAUGGUACAGUGACUGAACAAGAUCAGGUUCAGUGUAUCUCACCGCCGGUGAAUUGGCGUCGCGAUCCUCGUCGGCGGGGCUGUGAUUCGUGCCCAAUGGCGCGCGGAUAAUGACUCAGGGUAAAAGAUCUCGGGCAAGGGAUGAAGCCGGGGUACUGUGGCCACCCUUUCAUCGUACCCACUUGCGUUGCGACGUGGUCGGACGAUCAUCGCCGUGGAGAUCGCCGUUCACCGCGAUUGUGCCACGUUGUAGUCGAUUUACCACGUCGUCGCAAGCUGUAAGGACUCGGUAGUGACCGCCGUAGAUAGUUAGCCUGUGAGCGCCACGUUAGUGGCCUCCGGUGACUCCUCCCCCUUCUCACCGCGAGCACUUCCCCGUCCAAAUUCGCCCUCCAUGCAACCGUCCUCUAUAAAUUGAUGCCUCGGCCUGUUCCGUCUACUUGUUACGAACCCAGAGCACCAGCCCUCGCCUCCGAUCAUCCAUCGUAGCGCCCUAAUUUCGUUUUCCCCCAAAUCCACUCUCUGCACCAUCGCGAGUCACCUCGUCGUGGUCGGCCGUCUACAGGUCCGCUCUUGCCCUCCUAGUUCGUGUUUCAAUACUCUAGCAUGCUUGUGAUACUCGGCUGUGGGGGACAGAUAUCCCCCAGGUCCACUAGAAGGCUAGAAGGCCUCGUGAAAGGCUUUGGGUCUAUUGUCUCGCAAGGCCGACCCUUUGUGGGCUAGGGGAGAACUGCUGGCAGAAUGGGCCGACACAGGGAAUGAGCGGACUCGGGCCCAGGCGGCUCGUUGGAUUUAAGCGUUAUCCAUUGCUCUGAUCCGAUUUUCCCGCGUGACACCCCUGGACAUCAGAACCAAAUAAAGAUAAGUCGGCAGGAUUAUAGGAAGAUAAGUUCAGUCGGUUCACUAUUACUUAGGAAUACAUCGUUAUUAUACACGUAUGUAGUGCCCCACGGUUGAAUAUAUAAGGCCUAGGGGGUACCCCAUCAUAGGAAGGUCAUGUGCAUGUUUUUGCAUGAAACAGUAGCAGCAACCACUUUAUCUGAUGGAGGUAAUGUAUGUUUCCAGUGACCUGUUCAAACCCUCCAAUUGCAGGCUUCGACAAUGCAGGAUCAAUAGAAGCUGCAGUGCAAUUAGAAAGACAUCAAUCUGAUGAAAAUGGUUGUUGUGUUCCAUCUUGCGACAUUGCUCUUUGACAAAAAUCUUCUUGUAUUUGGUUUCCGAGUGUUGAAUUAGUAGUGACAGGAGCCUUUUCCAUUGUUUGUGGCUGCCAUUAAGGACACAACAUUUGCUAUGCCUGCAAUCCUUUCAGCACAUAGCUUACAACAUUAGAACUGUCAUCAAGCUGCUGGUUAGAGGGCAACAAUUGUUGAGAACCAUGUGAGACAAAAGGACCGCUGCAUCCUGCCGUUGUACCCGCGGACGCGCAGGUCCGGCCAUGGCUCCGAGAACACGCGGUCGGUGGCAUCGGACGCGCCAUCCCUGCGCCCCGUGGCACGGCGGUGAAUCAGACCCACGAUUUUCCUUGCCUCUUGCUUUGAGCUUCUGCUUGCCCCUCCAUUUCUGCCACUUCUUACUGAACAUCGAGGCGGCAAGCCAGAAGCUCCCGGCGAUCUCCUUGAGGUCCUUGGGCGGCAGCUUCCUGGGCUUCUGCGACUGCGAGGCCUCGAGAUCUAUGUGAUCCUUCAUGGCCCUAACGUCCCGCGCCACACUCACAUCCGUCUCCAUCUGCCCAGAGGUGCCCACGACCGAGACGGUCUCCAUCACCGGGACAAUCUCGUCAGAGUCCUCGGCCACAUCGAUCUCCUCCUCUGAGAACAUCUCAGGGACGCAUGCGGGAGGUGGCGGCUGCGGGGGCGGGAGGACCUCGGCGGCGAGCGCGACCACGACGGUGGAGGACGAGACCAAGAAGGCGGCGAACGCGGUGCCAUCGCGAACCCACUGGCGGUCGUCCUGGUGGAAGAGCGCCCAGAGAGUGCUUCGCCCGCGCACGUUGCACAGUCUCGAAAGUUGAUGAAGACCUUGUCGGUGCCCUCCUGGAGAACGAAGCGGGCGAUGGAAGAGCAAAUUGCCGAAGUGCAAUACUAUGCAAAGGACCUUAAAUAUCCACGAAGAUCCUUAGUAUAUGGAGGGAACGACGAAGAUGAUUACCUUUAUUGCCUGCCGGACAACAAAGAGAUAGAUGUUUGCCUGGAAAUAAUGGAUAAUAUGGGCUAUCCGAAGCUUGAACUUGGGUUAUCUGCAAUUCCGAAGGAUCAACUUGCAGACAGCCUUGCUUACAACAACUUGAAGGUUUGCAUAUUGUAUGUUAAUUUAUGUUAAGAAGGUUUGUGGUAAUCAAUUUGUGGUAAUGCUUAUUAUUGUUUAUUUGUAUGUUCUUUGCUUAUUAGGGUCUUAUUCUUAGCAAAGCUUUGAAAGCUCAAAAUGAUGCUGAAGACGAAGGCACCCGGAUAGCGUUCGGAAAUAUGAGUUCAGAAGUUAUAUCUCUUCGGAAUGAUGGCCUUGAGAAAGACAAGAUCCUGCUUUCUUUAGUCGAAAGGCUAAAGACUAGCGAAGCAAAAUUGGCUGCAUUCUCUGAAGUGGAACAAAAAAUUCUAAAUUUGAGAAGGAGAAAUAAGCAAAUGCAAAGUGAAUUGCGGAUUUAGAAUAUGCUUUAUCUAUCCAAGUGGGAUUACACAAAUCCGAAGUAGAAGGGAUGGAGAAGAAGCUUGAUGAAAUCACUGAAAACUUCAACGUCGAACAAUCAAAACGUGAGAUAUCUGAUACCGAAUUGCUGAGGGUUCAAAAGAAUGUUGAAAAGCUUUGCGAGGGGAAAGAGGAGUGCUACAAAGUUGCUAUGCAGUUUUGCAAUAAGCUGAAGAGUAGUUUUGCUAAGGUUGGCGCAUUCAUUACUAAACCAAACUUUAUUCGUGGUGAUCCUGGCGGAGUUAUCAGAUGGAUUAAAGGCGAAGCCGAAGCGUUUGAUGAGAUCCUUAGUGAUAGAGAAGAUUUUUGUAACUACAUCGAUGCUCGAGGAGCUGUUUCUUUGCUUGAAAAAGCUGGCUAUGAGCAUGUUAAGGCGGUAACUCAACCAAAAUUCUCAGUUUCAUCGAAUUAGGUCAAGGAUCCUUCAGCCGAAGCCAUCGCCUUUAGUGGACAAUUUUAUUCUAAAGUACAGGUGAAUGGUGGCCAAGAAAAUAGCAGAUGAGGCUAUUAAACAAAAUGAAAAAGAAUCCCAUACAGCCUUAGAAGAAGCGAGGAAAGCUAAAGAAGCCGCAGAACGUGAAAGGCUUAUAGGUAUGUUUGUCAGGAUUUAGCUUCGCAAAUACUUGUAGCUUUGUAAUUAACAAAAGCUUAUACUUUGGUGCAGUCGAACUUUCUCCUCCUCCAGAGCCAUACAAUCCUGAGGCCGAUCUAGCCCUAAAGGGCGCUCUUGAUGUGAUCAGGAUGGCAAAUGAACCUGUUGACAAAGCUAUGAAUAGACUCCUGAACGAUGCUGCUAAUAAAAUCUUGAAGGAGGAUCAUUAGACUUUGUAUAUAAAAACACUUGUAAAAUGUUUGUGUGUUGUUCUCUUAAAAAACAAUUGCUAACUAUAUAUCUCAUGACGUAAUAUAUUUCUUUGUGGAGUGUGAAACCUUCGUACGUACCAUUUUGAGCCAAAGGCGAAAAACACCUUCCCUUCUUUUCACGCUUCAUAAAGAAAAAUCCUCUUUCGGUCGAAGCAGCAUUAUUAGACUCGAAAAUCUUUGUCGUAUAUCUUGUAUAAGAAAUAUCAUUUUCAUAAUUCUUUGCCGAAGAUAGACCUCAUGAGUCAGUCAUCAUGGCCGAAGGAGCAAUUUCCCUUCUUUAUCCACUGUUUCGAAUGAUGCGAGAUGAUGAAUGAUGUAUGAUAUGCAGUAUGAUGCGAUGAUAUGAUGCAAUAAAUGUUAAUGAUCAAACGCUUUGUAAACAUAAGACUCUGCAUUCCCUUGGGAAUGACUUUGGAGUCUCUUCACCUUUUACUUAGGUGGUAUUUGAGCUCUACAUCCCUGUAGGAAUGACUUUGGAGCUAAGCUCUGCAUCCCCUUAGGAACGACUUUGGAGCUUUUUCACCUUUUACUUAGGUGGUAUUUGAGCUCUGCAUUCCCGUAGGAACGACUUUGGAGCUAAGCUAUGCAUCCCCUUAGGAACGACUUUGGAGAUUUUUCACUCUUUCUAUUACACUCGAUGGUGUAAAGACUUAUUACAACAGGCCAAAGGUUGCACCUUCUCGAAUUGUCUUUGAGGUAGAAACAUAAAAGCGAGAGAAAUGAAAAUUACAUUGAGUGCGUAUGAAUUUUUUUAUUGAGCCCAUCUGUUGCUUUAGUAAAUGUGUCUUGAUUCUGGUACAGUGUUUUUGACUGUCCGAGCUUCGAAUUCUUCACGUGCGUUGCGUUGUUGCUGAAUUUGGUGGUGCCCUUCUGGCUGUUCAUUGUGAGACGAAGUUGGAGCCAUGACUGGUGGUGGUGGUGGUAGGGCGCAUGCAGCUAGGGAGUGGCUUGCCGAAGCUACUGAUAUUGUGGGUUGUGAAAAUGUUGUUGGUUGCCCACAUACUCAGGAAUGUACGGGGAAUAGCACAAAGCAGUGUGCAGGACUUGAUUCGGCUGGUUCUACCAUGCUUUGGCCUCAUCUUUUUCCUUUUGCUUCUGUAUCGUGACUUGGCAUGUCCUAGUUGUAUACCCCUUAUCUUCUCCACAGAACAAGCAAAACAACCUUCAUGGUUGUGAGCUGAAUCUUCCUCCUAAGCUUCGUCCUCCUCUACUUCUUGGGGCUGGUAGCUCGAAGGAGCUUUGUGGUAUCCUUGAUGAUUGGUAGGCUUCUUCCCUUCUUUGCCAAAAAUCAUUGUCAGCUCUGAUGUACUCGUCCAUCUUCUGUAGAAGCUUCUCUAGAGUUUGUGUGGGCUUUCUGGCAAAAUACUGCGCUGUUGGUCCUAGAUGAUGUCCUUUGAUCAUUGCUUCAAUGACAAUCUCAUUCGGCACUGUUGGUGUCUGAGCUUUUAGACGUAGGAAUCUUCGGACAUACGCCUGCAAGUACUCCUCGUGGUCCUAUGUGCACUUAAAUAGAGCUGAGCAGUCAUUGGCUUUGUCUGAAAGCCCUAGAAGCUAGUGACUAGCAUAUCCUUCAGCUUCUGCCAUGAUGUGAUUGUUCCCGGCCGAAGAGAAGAAUACCAUGUUUGAGCCACGCUCCUGAUUGCCAUGACGAAGGAUUUCGCCAUGACAGCAGUGUUGCCACCAUAUGACGAUAUGGUUGCUUCGUAACUCAUGAGAAACUGCUUUCGGUCAGAAUGCCCAUCAUACAUGGGAAGCUGUGGCGGUUUGUACGAAGGUGGCCAUGGAGUAGCCUGCAACUCUGCUGCUAGGGGGAAGCAUCAUCAAAAGCAAAGUUACCAUGAUUGAAAUCAGCAUACCAUACAUCAUCAUAACUUGGGCUUUCCUGACGAAUCUCUCUUCGUUGUGGCCUUCGUCCUUGCUCGUUGUCUUGUGUGAUGUGGCACAUCUCUUCGGCAACAUCAACAAUUUUCUUCUAGAGUUCAGACAGCCGAAGCAUUUUCUCCCUUCUUCUCUCCACUUGUUGGUGUACAGCCUCUGUAACACCCCUGGUGUUACUAGCACUAAAACUUGAGCAUGGCAUCAUAUGCAUUAACAUUUCGUUUUGUUUGUUAUACCUAGAAUGCAUCUACUAGGUUAAAACUUCAAAACAAUGUGCUGUAAUGUCUUGAAGUAUUCUUAGCCCUAGGGUAGGGUGCUUAACCCUAGGAUUAGAGCAUGUGGGUAAUGGGAAGUCAAAUUGAGUAAUACCUCAAAAGUCAUUGGAAAUAUUCAUAAGAUAUCAAGUUUGAUGGAUUUGAGUCGCACAAAAACCCUAGAGUGCUCAAAACCCUAAAAGAAACCCUAGAAAACCCUAAUUUGUACCCUAGGGUGAUUUCAAAUUCUAUACACUUUUGGACCAAAAUGUAAAUAUCAAAGUGGUAGAGCAUAAAAAACAAGCAACUUUUACAUUGGAGGAUUUUCAAGUAGUGUGGAGUAAUUUGGACUUAAUUGCAAAAAAUUCCUAAGAACACCUAUGUGGCUAACUCUGAAUUUCAGUGAGAUUAAGCUAACUUUGGAGCCUUGUAUUUCUUAAUUCAUGAGGAUUUUUCCCUAGGUCAAUACAUCAAAUUUGUAGAGCUAUGAUAGGAGUACAACUUUGAUUAAGUGACUAAGCAUUGGUGCUGUACAAAAAUUUGAGAAAAAUGAGCCUGAAGAUGGGCUGUCAGUCACUAUUGAAGACUGAAUUUUGAUCGACAGUGAAAUCGGAUGAACUUUGUGAUCAAAUUAUGGGGGAUUGAGUGGAUGUUUGCGCAAGACCUUUGUAACAAAGUUGUAGUUGGUACAUUGGACAACAACUUUGCUGCAGAUGAAUGAGGGAGUUGCCACAUAAAAAUUUGAGAACAAAGCAUUGCAAGUUGCUCUGUCAGGCGCUCUGAUGAAUGAUUUCGAUGGUACAGUGACUGAACAAGAUCAGGUUCAGUGUAUCUCACCGCCGGUGAAUUGGCGUCGCGAUCCUCGUCAGCGGGGCUGUGAUUUGUGCCCAAUGGCGCGCGGAUAAUGACUCAAGGUAAAAGAUCUCGCGCAAGGGAUGAAGCCGGGGUACUGUGUGUUGUAACUCGCUCUUUCGGGCGAGUUGAUCCAACGGGGGAGUGAAAGCAAUUCAAACAAAGCUUUUACUUGAGAUCGCGAUAGCUCUGUUAAUCUAGCCUUUCAAGGGCACUGUGCGGGGGUAUUUAUAGGUGUCUGAGUGCCCAGCGUCAAGGAUUAAUGACGCAUGUGCCCUCAGGUUCCUAGGUCCUCCCCGGAAUAUUCCCAUUAAAGCAGGGUUACAGACUAUAAUAACAGAAAAACCUUUACAAUUUAGGCCCGUAAUGCGCAGCGACAGCGCGGGGCCCGUUAUGACGGGCCAGAUUGCAUGUGGGCUCUCGUGUUGGGCGAUGCCUCGGGAUGGGGCGACCUCGCCAUAGGUCUUUGUCCUUCGGCGUGUCGGACGAAGGGUGGAGUCUGCCAGUCGUCGUCUCCGUUGGUGCAGCGAGACUGGCGAAGGCAUCGAGCGAAGGGUAGCGUCUUCGCCUUCGCCCCAACAUUUGCCCACUGUUGGGGACUUGUUCUCAAAUGCUAUAAAUUAAGAACAAGGCAACAUAAAAUGUUAAAUAUUAAUGCCCUUCGUCCGCUGAAGCAUUAUCUCCCCGAGGAUUUAAUGAGCUUCGGACGAAGGUCAUAAGCAAAAUAUCACGAAGGUCAUACCUUCGUGAUCAGACUUGAAAAACAAUAUGAAGUCAAAUAUAAAACAUAAAAUAUUAUAGAAAGACAUACCGAAAAUAAAUAAUAUUGUUCACAUAUUUUAUUAUAUGAACUUAAAUAUUAAAACAUAAUAUUUAAAUUCAUUUAUACCUUCGUCUCGGCAGAAAACAAUAAUUCCAGCGUAAUGUGCCAGUGAUUACAAGAUUGCGUGAACAGUACAGGGGUACUGUUCACCUAUUUAUAGGCACAGGGCGCGGCCUGUGAGGAAUUACAAUUAUGCCCCUCAUAAGGGUUUACAACAACGACUCAAACAUUUAUGGACUAAAAGGUCAUUCUACUUUUAUGUCGGUUUGUAAAUUCUGAAGGUUCAUGAAGAGGAACCUUCGGUCAUCACAUGCGGACAGCUUCAGCCGAAGCUGUUUCUUCCUACCAGACCUUCGGCGACGAAGCAUAGUCCCAACAGUAGCCCCUUCGCGGUGCUAGAUCGUUUUUCGUAACGAGCUUGAUCCGUGAAAAAAGUAUCUUAGGCUUCGGUAAGCCGAAGGUCCAAAAAACACCUUCCCUGAGCUCGUUGUCGAGAAACGAUUCAGUUUCCGAGCGCGUAGCGGUCCCACCUUGCAGAGUUACUAUUUGGUCUCUGCGGUCCACCGCGCAGCGGGUGCAAGCAGCUGUUCGCCUGGUGUAGAAAUCCUGGCGAUUCACCUUCUUACCUGCAUCACUAUAUAAACAGACAUGUAGGUGUGAAGUUACCACAACAUUCAUUGCUAUUUGCACUGUUUUGCUGCCAAAAUUUUUAACCAUAGCCGAAGCUUGACUCUCGAAAUCAAACGAAGCUCCAGCUCGAAGCCUACUUCGUCAGAAGAAAAAAGCUUCAGAAGAAAAGUAUUUAGUUCCCAAAAAAUCCAGAAUUAAAUGGCUAGAGUGCGUUCUACCGCUAGAGUUGAGCGUGAGGGAGGCGAAGCUGAAGGAUCGGAGACUGUUCCCAUCUCCGAAGCGAUGCAACGAUCCGGACUGGUAAUCACGGAAGAAAUCCCCACUGCUGAAACAGAACAGGCAACUGCCGAAGCGGAAGAAGGAGACAUUGAGGAAACUGAUUCCGAAGAUGAUUAUCACAUUGCCAUGCCAAGUAAGCCCAGCCAUUUGGACUUCGGAAAGUCGACUGUUUCUAAGGCUGAUCUCUCCAAGAUGGUGAAGUCGGGUUAUUUCAGUGAGAAUCAGAAGAAGCUACUUCGCUUCGGGGGGGGGGGGGGGGAAGAAACUACCUCGAAGCCGGAGAAGGAUGAAAUAGUCAUUUUCAAGAGCUUUCUAAAGGCUGGGUUGAGAUUCCCCCUUCAUGGGAUUAUUGCAGAUGUAUUGAAGAAGUUUGGGAUCUACUUUCAUCAGCUGACUCCUAACACUAUCGUUAGGCUUAGUGUUUAUAUCUGGGCCCUCCGAAGCCAAGCGGUGGAGCCGUUUGCCGACAGCUUUUGUCGAGUUCAUGAGCUGCACUACCAGACGAAGGCUAGAAAAGAUGGAUUGCACGAUAACUUUGGUUGCUAUAAUUUUGCUUACCGGAAAACCACAAAGUUUCCUGUAAUCAACUACAGAAGCAAAUGGCCGGCAGGCUGGAAAUCGGAAUGGUUUUAUGUGAAAGUUGACGAAGACAAAGAGAAGCUGGUACAAAGCCCUCUUGAAUUGAUCUUCGGAGAAACAAGACCGCGAUGCCAAAUGUCAUUAGAAGGUCCCACUUGGGCUGCACUGGCUGAGUUUAAAAUUAUUUCAGAGCAUAUCGGCACAAGAGACCUGGUUCAAGAGUUCUUGGCCUUCAGGGUUUUUCCUACUUUAAAAGAAUGGGAAAUGCCGAAGCUAGAGGGGGAGAAGAAAGAAGGGGAACUUGUGCGGUUACCUUACUAUUACAAGUUUAAGAAAUACUUUAAGACACCUUGCCAAGAGUGGCUGGACAUAAUUGAAAUAAUGUGCAAUGAAAUACUCGGUAAUUACUCCAAAAAAGAAGAUCAGUUGAUGACCGCGGCCUUCGGUACCCGUCCAAAGCGAAGACUGAAUCGAGUGCUGGACGCCUUGGGUUUUGAAUACCCUGACUACGAACAACUGAAUAAAGGUGUCGAAGGCCAGAAAAGGAAAAGGGUAACCGAAGCUUUAAAUGAAGAUGAGAAAGAACCACCAAAAGAGAAGAAAAUUCCAAAGAAGAGAAAAGUAUCAUCUCCGAAGCGAAAAGUAUCCGACGAAGAAGAGACUCCCGCAUCACGCUCUGCCACUGACGUGGAAGAGAUUUUGAAGGUAAUGACUGAAUCCCUGCCUGCGAAGCUAAGUCCAUUAGGGCCUCAACUGACGAAGUUUUUUCAGAAGGAAAAGGAGCCCGAGAAAACGAAGGAAACAACUAAAACAAAGAGACAAAGAAUCAUCGCAGUGACAGAAGUCAUUGACAAGACACCACCGAGAGCCUCAGCUCGGAAGAUACCAGCGGCUGAGGAAAUAACAAAUAUUGAAGUCGCACCUUCGGAGAUCGCGGCUACCGAAGCUACCUCAACCGAAGAUUUGAACUUGGAAACCACAAUCGAACAUAUCGACAAAAUACUGACAGAAGAAGUUACCACUGCCGCCGAGGAGACCAUGGCCGCAGUGUCUGGGAAAGAAAAGGAAAUCUCUGACGAAACUUCAGAGGACGAAGCCUUCAUGUUUCAAAAUUUAGUUGGACAAGAACUGUCAAAAACCGAAAUAGAAGAGCUCAAAGAAUAUGCCAAAUCUUGCGGAUAUAAACCAGGAGCACUCCUCUUCGGGGGUAUUGACGAUGAAAAAUUAGACUGUAUCCGGGAUCAAACUGGAGCUAAGGUUAUCGGUACUCUAUCAAAGAGUAUCGGUUUUCCGAAGCUGGAAACGGAUAUUAGCCGCUACCGACGACAACAUAUCGUUGGUAGUUUGUUUUAUUCCAAUUUCAAGGUGAACUACUUUUCCCUUGUCUUUUACUGUUUUUAAUAACGAAGACAUUUCUAACGAAGGUUGUUUAUGUGCAGAGUAUGCUGUUGAGUAAGGCUUUGAAAAUGCAGCAGGAUCUGGAAGACAAAAAACACGAGGUUAUAAUUGAAAAUCUAGAGAGCAAAUUAAAAGAGCAAUCAGCUACUAUUGAAAAGAAAAACUUCGAGCUUCAGACAACUAAAGGCUUAUUGGCAGAAGCCGAAGCUAAAAUAGCAGAAUUGAAUACGAAGCUUCUCUGCCAAUCUGAACAGUUUGAACAAGAAAAGCAAGAACUUAAUGCGAAACUUGAAGCCGAAGUCCAACAAAAUUCAGAUUUGAAAAAAUUAUUGACAAGCCUUCAAGACAAAUGUUUGGAGUUUAGCAGUAAAUGUAUUCAACAACUGAGAAAAAUCUUCCACUCAGUCGGGGCUAGCAGUGGGAAGUUCACCCCGUCAACUGAAGAUUUACCAAAGACCUUCGAACAUAUUGAGGGUGAAAUUGAUGAGCUUGACGAAGUUAUAGCCGGGCACGGUGACUUCUGUGCCUGGGUAGCUUCUCGGGGCACCGCUGCAGCUUUUCUGAAAGCUGGCUGCGACCAUGGAAAAAUUGUUAAUAGGCCCAAUUUUACUCUAUCACCAUCAAUUUUAGAUGAUAUUCCUGACCUCGCCCGAAGCAUUUCUAAUAGAUUUGUGAAGAUGAUAUGGACAAAAGGCGGGCGAGAAAAGGCUGGAGACGAAGCUCGGAGUCAUCUUGAACCAGUAAGAAAUCAUACCUUGUGCUUACCUUUUCCUUCAAACUUGGUUUUGACUCUCAACAACUUAAUUCAUGUAGGAUGACGAAGCCGAAACCGAUGCUUAGAGUAUGACACCAAAGCUGAGACCCCAUGAAGAUCAGUAGGAGUAGGCUGUAGAAAAACUCAAGAAACUUUUGAAAUAACUUUUGUAAAUAUGGCUAAACAGUUCUUAAUGAAUUUUGUUCAUACCUUGUAAUAUGCUCUUACCCUUCCAUUAAUGUAUGAGGUGCUUUGAUGUGGACGAAAUUAUCUUUUUGAGACGAAGGCGAAAAAACACCUUCCCUUCUUUUCGUACACAGCGAAGCAUAAAAAACAGCUUUUUCUUUUUGCCGAAGCUCUUCUUUUCGUACACAACGAAGUACAAAAGACAGUUUUUUCCUUUUUACCGAAGCAACCACUUAUGCUAUGACGAUGGUUAUCCUACAUAUGCCUGGAUGAAUGUUUAUGAAUGCAAAUGUCAUGAUGUAAUGUGGUGUGCAAAUGAAUGUCCAAACACAUAUCCGAAGCCAUAAUCACAACCGUUAUUUCCUUAGAAACAAUCACAUAUCAGCGUUGACUUUUCGCUGUAAGCCUCCCUUAGGAGCUUCUUCGCCUUUUACUUCAGCGGAAUCAGCGUUGACUUUUCGCUGUAAGCCUCCCUUAGGAGCUUCUUCGCCUUUUACUUUCGACGGAAUCAGCGUUGACUUUUCGCUGUAAGCUCUGCAUUCCCUUUGGAACGACUUCUGAGCAGAAAACUUACACUGCGCUCCCUUUGGAGCGACUUCUUUAGUAGCUUCAUCGUGCUCCGCAUCCCUUUAGGGACGGCUUUCGAGCUUCUUCCCUGUUUCUUUUCGGCACUCGAUGGUGCGUUCUCAGUUUUUACAUUUACAUCUUUGGGGGAUUUUGCUCUUAUAGAGCUAAAAAGAAGGAAAUUACAUGUGAUGGCCCCAUUAAAAACCUUUCUCCCCCUUCAGAAAGGAAAAGGGUGCCAUGAAAGAAAAAUUAAAAAUAAAAAAUUACAUCGAGUUAUACAUAAUAUCGCCGAAGUUCAUUCGCAUUCCAAGAUCUAGGAAUGUCGUUGCCGUCCAUAUCCUUCAAUCUGUAUGAACCGGGUCUUGACGAAGAUACUACCAAAAAAGGUCCCUCCCAUUUCAACUGCAACUUGCCCACUGUAUCUGGGUUAGCCACUCUCCGAAGCACCAAAUGUCCUGGCUCAAUAUUCUUUAGCCGAACCUUUCUAUCACGCCAUUUGAUUGUUUCGGCUUGAUAUUUAUUGAUGUUCUCCACAGCUUGAAGCCUGAUCCCUUCUAUAGCAUCUUUUUCCACAGAAUGAUCAGCUUCAGAAUCUGAUUCUGCCGAAGCUACUACUCUUAUCGAUCCAGUUUUAGCUUCCUCCGGAGUUAUUGCUUCAUCACCAAACAAUAAUUUGAAUGGAGUAAAGCCUGUUGACCUUGAUGUUGUUGUGUUGUGGCUCCAUACCACUUUGAUUAAUUGAUCUGGCCACUUUCCCCUGGGUUGAUUGAAGAUUAACUUCAUUAUUCCUGUCAUUAUGAUACCAUUGGCUCUUUCAACAAGUCCAUUUGACUCCGGAUGCCUGACUGAUGCAAAAUGGAUCUUCGUGCCAAUUUUAUCACAGAAUUCUCUGAAAGCUUCGAAGUCGAACUGUGUUCCAUUAUCUACAGUGAUGGCCUUUGGUACUCCGAAACGACAAACAAUAUUCUGCCAGAAAAACUUUUGAAUGGUGGCCGAAGUUAUUGUGGCUAAAGGCUUUGCCUCAAUCCAUUUAGAAAAAUAUUCCACAGCCACUACAACAUAUCUUAAGUUUCCUUGGGCCGGUGGUAACGGACCUAACAAGUCAAGGCCCCACCUUUGCAAUGGCCAGAUGGGUUGUAUCAGCUGAGUUAAAGACGAAGGUUGUUUUUGAUCUCUUGCACAUUUCUGACAACCUUCGCACUUUUGAACUAAUUCCGCUGCAUCCGAAGCUGCCUUCGGCCAAUAAAACCCUUGACGGAAAACUUUUCCAAGUAACGGCCUAGAUCCAAUGUGAGAUCCACACAGGCCUGCAUGUAUUUCUUUCAUCAACUCUAUGCCUUCGGCUCUAGAUAAACACUUGAGUAAUGGAGCACAAACUCCAUGCUUGUACAACUCCCCUUCUAUCAUGACAUAUGGACGAGCUCUUGCCUCUAUCCUCCUGUUAUAAGUUUCGUCAUCUGAAAGGAAGUUACCCUUAAGGUAAGAGAUGAUCUCAGUUCUCCAGUCUUCACUAUAAACAGGAGAUAUAUUGAGGACUGCUCUUUCAAGAAGUUCCACUGAAGGUGCUUUUAUUGUUUCGAAGAACACAUCCGAAGGUAAGGGCAGCCCCUGUGCUGCUGACUUAGCUAGCAAAUCAGCAUGCUCAUUUUGUCCUCGAGGGAUAUUUUUGACAGAAAAUCCUUCGAAGGAAGCUUCAAUCCUUCGAACCGUGUCUAGAUAUUUUUCAAGCUUCGGAUCUUUAGCCUUACAACUCUUGUCGAUAUGACCCGAAACAACCUGGGAAUCAGUUUUAAGAAUGGCCCUUCUGAUUCCCAUUGCUUUUAACUUCCGAAGGCCCAAAAGCAGGGCUUCGUACUCAGUAAUAUUGUUUGUACAACUAAAAUCGAGUCUUGCCGCAUAACAAGUUUUAACUUUGGAUGGUGAGACCAACACAGCGGCUGCUCCUGCUCCGAAGGUUCCCCAAGACCCAUCGCAAAACACUGUCCAUACUUCGGCAUCUUUAUUUGUUUCUUCAUCUUGAGCCCCUGGCGUCCAGUCAGCAAUGAAAUCUGCCAACGCUUGAGACUGGAUCGAAGACCUAUGCACAUAAUCAAUGCAAAAUUCAUUGAGCUCUGCAGCCCAUUUUCCAAUCCGUCCAGUAGCUUCUCUAUUUCUCAUAAUAUCCUUCAACGGUUGCGAAGAAGGAACAACAAUAUUGUAUGCUUGAAAGUAAUGCCGAAGCUUCCUGGAUGCCAUCAAAACAGCAUAUAACACCUUCUCCAAUUCUGUAUAGUUUUUCUUCGAUAAACUAAGAACCUCAGAUACAAAAUAUACUGGGACUUGCUUCUUGACUUGGCCAUCAAGCUUCUCCUGGACAAGUGCUGCACUUACCGCUGAGUGCGAAGCUGCCACAUAUAAUAACAAAGGAGCCCCUGGUGUUGGUGGAGUUAAUGUUGUUAAAUCUAUCAAAUAUUGCUUCAGUUCCUCGAAGGCUUUUUGUUGGCUUGGUCCCCAUUGAAAGACUUCGGCUGAUUUCAGCACUUCGAAGAAUGGUAAAUUUCUCUCUGCUGAUCUGGAUAUGAAUCUAUUGAGAGAUGCCAGCCUCCCUGUCAGUCUUUGGGCCCCCUUUUUUGUAUUUGGUGGCUCCAUUCGAAGUAUAGCUUCAAUUUUACUUGGAUUAGCUUCAAUUCCCUUUGUUGAAACCAAGCAUCCAAGAAAUUUCCCCUUCUUUACUCCGAAGACACAUUUUUCUGGAUUCAGCUUUAGACCAGCUUGUCUAAAACUGGCGAAGGUCUCCUGCAAAUCAGCAAUGUGAUUUUCUUGUUUCGUGCUUUUUACAAUGAUAUCAUCAACAUAAGUUAGCACAUUUCUGCCUAUCUGAGACUGAAGAACCUUCGCAGUCAUUCGGCUGAAACUUCCUCCAGCGUUCUUGAGCCCCUCUGGCAUUCGAAGGUAACAAUAUGUUCCACUGGGGGUUAUGAAACUGGUCUUCGGCUCAUCCUCCUUCUUCAUCCAAAUUUGAUGAUAGCCUGAAUAACAAUCUAGAAGACUCAUAAGCUCUGACGAAGCUGCUGCAUCAACUAAGGAGUUUAUCCUUGGCAAAAAUAGACAAUCCUUUCAAUCCUGCCCCAGGCGUACCUGAGACAACCCUUUCCUCACCCGAGAAUUGCAUUUCCGCUUCAGCUUCCAGCGCAUCCAACUUUUUCUGGAUCUAGGCAAGGAUCCUCAGUCCUAUAGAAAGAAAAGAAUCUAAGUUCAUUAGAUUAUGCUUCCUUGCCCAUGUGGAACAUGUGUGAGCAUUAUGUUUUUCCAACAAGUGAUCCGACUGGAAGAAGUGUUAUAUGAGGACUUCGAGAUCAAAUAGAGAAUCUGUCUCUCCAUUCCUCGUGAGCCACUUAUUUCUCCGAAAUCUGAGAUCAGAGUGAUUUUCCUCCUUUUUCCCAAAUAGUCGACGGUCCAUUGGGAUACUUCGGAUAAACUGGAGUACAUAUAUGAGAGACCGGUGCUAAAACCUUUUCUCGAGAUAUCUUCCAAAUUAUUAGGGUCCUUGCUCCGGAUCUUGUUCCCCCGGUGCGAAAGCAGUUGGUUCCGUAGUUUGAGAAUUCUGCUAAUUCCAAGUAUUCCAUUAUUAUUAUUAUAAAAGAGAAUAUAAAAAGUAAAGAGGAGAAGGCAUAACCAGAAGAAUUGUGAGAAAUAUGUCAAUUUAUCAAGUUGAGGCAUUUCGAUUUCCAAUCAAACCAACCCUCAAGACAGAAAAAGACUCCCUCCCAAAAUAACCAAAAAUACUAGUUGCCUUCUAACGCAUAGACUAGAGCGUUUGUCCCAUCCUUAUCUAGUGGGCCAAUGACAUUACUAUUCUACGCGUUUUCUGAGGAGCAACAUGAGAGAUAGACUUGACACCGACCCACGAAAACGAAACUUUUUAGUCUAGAAAGAUUCCCAACCUGAUAUUGAGAUCUGAUGACUGAACACUCGUUUGAAUAGCUCGAGGUGUCGACAGAGCUAACUUGUGAGACGGAGCUCACUUCUGAGAUAGAGCUGUCUUCUUUCUCUUGGUUUCCAUCCUUCCAUUACGAGAUA